AAUUAAGCAAGCGCGCGCCAAACACAGAAAACGCAACUCCCGCUCUCGUUUUCAAAAAACCUCUCCUUCUGUCUCAAUUUCAAUUCCAGAUACCACAAGAAAAUACCCCUCACUCAAAACUCAAAAAUGUCAACAGCGAAAACAAGCUCCAAAAAGCGAGUUGCCGAGUCGUUACUCACCAAACCGGCUUCCAAAUUCCGAGUCGAGGACGAGUUCGAUCCCGAUCUCUCAAGCGAUAUCAAGGGGAUUAUGUCGGCGCUACACCAGAUCAGAGAGAAAGCUCAAAAGGACGGUCUGAAGAAGAACGAGCAGACGAUUUCUAGUGUGGGCUCUGAGAUCAAGUCUAUGAUUGAUGAAUUGAAGUCUAAAAUUGAGAAGGACAGGCAAACUUUUGCGAAGGCACUCUCAAAGAGCUCAAAAGAGUGUGAAAAUUGGUUGAAGAGUGAGACUGCCAAGUUUCAAGAGAUAUAUGACAAGUUUUGCAAGGAGAAGGAAGCUCAUUUGCAGGCCCUGAAAGAUACUGUUUCCAAAUUCGAGGAAGACAAGGAAAGGCUGUGUAUGAGAUAUGAACAAAUGAGAAAGAAAGAGAAAAGCAUGAUAUCUGAACAUGAGAAAACCUGUGCUGAUAAAAUUGCUAAAUUGGAGGAAUCAUUGAAAAAGAAAAAGCAGGAUGGCAAGACUUUCAGCAUUUUGAGGAAAAGCCUCGGCUCAUUCCUGGAAGAUGCUUCAGAUGAGGACUUCCCUCCUGAUGAUUGAAGGUUGCAUAUCUGCAUUAGUUUUCAUCACUCCAAGCAUUUAACUGUGGAUACCCAAUUCCUUCCUUUCCAAAGUCAAUCUAGUUUACAACAUACUGCCCCUAGGAAACUCGAGGUGAUUAUCUCUUAAUAUCCUCUUACUAUAAUGGUAAGGAGGACAUGACUAGUUCAAUGUUGCAUACGCACCUGUUGGUGGUUGUAGCUACCCUUGUCAGGCUACGUAUUACCUCUUACUUUUCACGUUCUGGCCAACGAUAACGGCUGAAAUUUCUGUGGUAAGAGAGUUGUUUGGUGAGACUUUGGAAAAUAUCAAUUAAUGACUACAGUAAUGAAUCAAGUAGUUUGGUGAGGCA